GACGAACGCUGGCGGCGUGCCUAAUACAUGCAAGUAGAACGCACAGUUUAUACCGUAGCUUGCUACACCAUAGACUGUGAGUUGCGAACGGGUGAGUAACGCGUAGGUAACCUGCCUGGUAGCGGGGGAUAACUAUUGGAAACGAUAGCUAAUACCGCAUAAUAUUAAUUAUUGCAUGAUAAUUGAUUGAAAGAUGCAACUGCAUCCCUACUAGCUGGACCUGCGUUGUAUUAGCUAGUAGGUGAGGUAACGGCUCACCUAGGCGACGAUACAUAGCCGACCUGAGAGGGUGAUCGGCCACACUUGGACUGAGACAAGGGCCAGACCCCUAAGGGGGGGAGCAGGAGGGAAACUUCGGAAAUGGACGAAAGGCUGAACGAGGAAAGCCGGGGGAGGGAAGAAGGGUUUCGGAUCGGAAAGGUCUGUUGUAAGGGAAGAAAGGGUGGGAGAGUGGAAAGUUCACACUGUGACGGUACCUUAACAGAAAGGGACGGCUAACUACGUG
rnacentral:rRNA from 1 species